rnacentral:misc_RNA from 1 species
UCUCCGUAGGUGAACCUGCGGAGGGAUCAUUACAGAGUUCUCGCCCUCGCGGGUAGAUCUCCCACCCACUGUUAUCAUUACUGUGUUGCUUUGGCGGGCCGCCGGGCCCCGCUCGGCCGCCGGCUCCGGCUGGCGCGCGCCCGCCAGAGGCCCAGCAAACUCUGAAUGUUAGUGUCGUCUGAGUACUAUAUAAUAGUUAAAACUUUCAACAACGGAUCUCUUGGUUCUG